UGCCUAACACAUGCAAGUCAACUUGACUGAAGGAGCAAUCUGACAGUAGAGUGGCGCAAGGGUGCGUAACGCGUAAGUAACUUGCCCAAGGUAAGGAAUAACGCCGAGAAAUCGGCGCUAAUACCUCAUAAUGCAGCGGAUCCGCAUGGAUAUGUUGUUAAAGGUUUACCGCCUUGGGAUAGGCUUGCGUCUGAUUAGCUAGUUGGUGUGGUAACGGCACACCAAGGCUACGAUCAGUAACUGGUCUGAGAGGAUGAUCAGUCACACUGGAACUGAGACACGGUCCAGACUCCUACGGGAGGCAGCAGUGAGGAAUAUUGGGCAAUGCUCGAAAGAGUGACCCAGCAACGCCGCGUGGAGGAUGGAGGUAUUCUAUAUCGUAAACUCCUGUGAGAGCAGACGAAAGACAGAUUAUUAAUCUGGAUGACUGUAUGCUCAGAGGAAGCCCGGCUAACUACGUG
rnacentral:rRNA from 1 species